rnacentral:rRNA from 1 species
AUUGAACGCUGGCGGCAGGCCUAACACAUGCCAGUCGAGCGGAUGAAGGGAGCUUGCUCCUGGAUUCAGCGGCGGACGGGUGAGUAAUGCCUAGGAAUCUGCCUGGUAGUGGGGGAUAACGUCCGGAAACGGGCGCUAAUACCGCAUACGUCCUGAGGGAGAAAGUGGGGGAUCUUCGGACCUCACGCUAUCAGAUGAGCCUAGGUCGGAUUAGCUAGUUGGUGGGGUAAAGGCCUACCAAGGCGACGAUCCGUAACUGGUCUGAGAGGAUGAUCAGUCACACUUGAACUGAGACACGGUCCAGACUCCUACGGGAGGCAGCAGUGGGGAAUAUUGGACAAUGGGCGAAAGCCUGAUCCAGCCAUGCCGCGUGUGUGAAGAAGGUCUUCGGAUUGUAAAGCACUUUAAGUUGGGAGGAAGGGCAGUAAGUUAAUACCUUGCUGUUUUGACGUUACCAACAGAAUAAGCACCGGCUAACUUCGUG